rnacentral:rRNA from 1 species
AGUGUAGGCGGGAUCGUAAGUUAGGAGUUUAAUGCAUGGGCUUAACCCAUGACCUGCUUUUAAUACUGCGGUUCUUGAGUAUGGGAGAGGGCGAUGGAAUUCCAGGUGUAGCAGUGGAAUGCGUAGAUAUCUGGAAGAACACCAGUAGCGAAGGCGGUCGCCUGGCCCAAUACUGACGCUGAUGCUCGAAAGCUAGGGGAGCAAACAGGAUUAGAUACCCUGGUAGUCCUAGCCGUAAACGAUGGACACUAGUUGCUGGAGGAGUCAAUCCUUUCAGUGACGAAGCUAACGCAUUAAGUGUCCCGCCUGGGGAGUACGCUCGCAAGGGUGAA